AUGCUUCCAACCGACUGUGUCGUCUUCAUUGCGCUCCUCGUGCUGCUCGGAGACGCGGCGACCGCCGUCGCUGGCAUCCGCGUCGACCCUGCCAUGAUGAUCCGGCAGCCGUUGGAUUCUAUCCCUACGUUCCGCGAGGCGCCCGCCUUCCGAAACGGCGCCGAGUGCGCUGGCGGUGACAAGGUGAACGUCGCCAUGACGCUGGACGCUAACUACCUCCGUGGCACCAUGGCCGGCGUGCUCUCCAUCCUGCAGCACACAGCGUGCCCGGAGAACGUGGUGUUUCACUUCCUCGCCGCCCGGAUGGACGGUGACCUCGUCGCCAUGCUGCGCGCGACCUUCCCUUACCUGGACCUCCGCGUGUACCGAUUCGACCCGUCGCGCGUCCGGGGACGUAUCUCCCGGUCGAUCCGCCAUGCGCUAGACCAGCCGCUCAACUACGCGCGCAUCUACCUUGCCGACACGCUUCCCCCUGAUGUGCGCCGGGUUAUCUACCUCGACUCCGACGUGAUCGUCGCCGACGACAUCCGCACACUCUUCUCUGUGGACCUCGCGGGCCACGUGGUGGGCGCACCGGAGUACUGCCACGCCAACUUCACCAACUACUUCACGGACACAUUUUGGAUGGACCGGGCGCUCAGCGGAACAUUCCACGGGCGGCGCCCGUGCUACUUCAACACCGGCGUGAUGGUGAUGGACGUGGACCAGUGGCGCACCGGCGGGUACACGAGGCGGGUGGAAGGGUGGAUGGCCGUGCAGAAGCAGAAGAGAAUCUACCACCUCGGCUCUCUGCCGCCGUUCCUUCUGGUGCUCGCCGGGGAUAUCCAGGCCGUGGACCACCGGUGGAACCAGCACGGGCUAGGCGGCGACAAUGUCAAAGGGCGGUGCCGGGGCCUGCACCCGGGACCCAUCAGCCUGCUGCACUGGAGCGGCAAGGGAAAGCCCUGGCACCGUCUCGAUGCCCGGCGGCCGUGCACCGUCGACUACCUCUGGGCGCCCUACGACCUCUACCGGCCAUCGUCGCCGGUACUUGAGGAGUGA
rnacentral:rRNA from 1 species